CUCUUUCAACAAGCACAUAGGUGCUGGGGCCAGCAGGCUGCUCAGGACUGGGGCAGUGGACCUUUUAAAUAGUACGCAGAUAUCCUAAGGUGAGCUUGGUGUGCGUGCAUGUUCAGUCGCUUCAGUUGAGUCCAGCUCUUUGGAACCCUAUGGACUGGAGCCUGCUAGGCUCCUCUGGGAGGACCAAAACCUUCUGUAGGGAAGAGAGGCAAAACCUCCCUUGAUCUUGAUAUUCCAUAUGAAUACAGGCCAUGAAAGUGGAGCCUCGUGAUCCUGCUGACCUUUUGCAUUUUAAGUAGGAGAUGUCAGAAGAGUUACCAGAGGCAUAACUGACUUGUGGCAGCCAAGUAUUCACAGCGAUGCUGCUCUUCCAUCCUUCGAUGUUGGCUCUUCUUAUCAUCGUGAAGCACAGUUCAACGGUCAGAUUGUUCACCCUGAUAGAGAAUGUGAGCUGGAAUUUCACCGUGGAGAGACAGGUUA
rnacentral:ncRNA from 1 species